rnacentral:rRNA from 1 species
AGCGAACGCUGGCGGCAUGCCUAACACAUGCAAGUCGAACGAACCCUUCGGGGUGGGUGGCGCACGGGUGCGUAACACGUGGGAACCUGCCCUUAGGUUCGGAAUAACACAGAGAAAUUUGUGCUAAUACCGGAUAAUGUCUUCGGACCAAAGAUUUAUCGCCUUUGGAUGGGCCCGCGUAGGAUUAGCUAGUUGGUGAGGUAAAGGCUCACCAAGGCGACGAUCCUUAGCUGGUCUUAGAGGAUGAUCAGCCACACUGGGACUGAGACACGGCCCAGACUCCUACGGGAGGCAGCAGUGGGGAAUAUUGGACAAUGGGCGAAAGCCUGAUCCAGCAAUGCCGCGUGAGUGAUGAAGGCCUUAGGGUUGUAAAGCUCUUUUACUGGGGAUGAUAAUGACAGUACCCAGAGAAUAAGCCCCGGCUAACUCCGUGCCAGCCGCCGCCGUAAUAC